GCGGGAAUAGCUCAGUUGGUAGAGCGUCACCUUGCCAAGGUGAGUGUCGCGGGUUCAAGUCCCGUUUCCCGCUCCA
rnacentral:tRNA from 1 species